rnacentral:miRNA from 1 species
GCGAGGAUGAGAUUGAGAGAGAGGAUGAGAAGGAAGGACGGGAGGGAGGAGUAACAAAAGUAAAAACAAUUUCAAAUAGAUUUCAUGUUUUAAUUUUUGUUUUCACUUUUGUUACUCCUUCCCAUCCUUCUUAUCUUCUCUAUAAAUCUCAUCUUCACU